rnacentral:rRNA from 1 species
GUACGUAGGGGGCGAGCGUUGUCCGGAAUGAUUGGGCGUAAAGGGCGCGUAGGCGGCCCGGUAAGUCUGGAGUGAAAGUCCUGUUUUUAAGAUGGGAAUUGCUUUGGAUACUGUCGGGCUUGAGUGCAGGAGAGGUAAGUGGAAUUCCCAGUGUAGCGGUGAAAUGCGUAGAGAUUGGGAGGAACACCAGUGGCGAAGGCGACUUACUGGACUGUAACUGACGCUGAGGCGCGAAAGUGUGGGGAGCAAACAGGAUUAGAUACCCUGGUAGUCCACACUGUAAACGAUGAAUGCUAGGUGUAGGGGGUAUCGACCCCUUCUGUGCCGCAGUCAACACAAUAAGCAUUCCGCCUGGGGAGUACGGCCGCAAGGUUGAAACUCAAAGGAAUUGACGGGG